UAUUUCCAGUUCUACUCUCCGGGAAUGUCUAGUAUCCCACCCACUGCUGCCUGUCCUCAAGUCUGCCUUGGAUAUAAAGGAGACGGAAAGGAAAAUAUCGUUUAGGCUGGUGCACACAGACGGGAUUUAAAGUACAGGAGAUCAAAGAGAAAGUAACAAUCCAGGACUUUCAGUAACAAUCAGGGACUGCGGAAUGAGCUGUGAAAAUCGGGACUGUCCCGUAAAAAACGGGACCUUUGAGAGACUGCGCCUGAGUGAUUCAUUGCUGCCGAUUGAGACAGAUUGCUGUUCUUCCGCUCCCUAUGUCACGAAUAUGUUGGAUCCCUCUGUGGUUCCCUCCAGGUUUUUGAUAUCUGAUCUGCCAGUUGUGAAGAGUGAAACGUUCGCUUCAUCGUUUGAUAGGCCGCGCUAAGCCGAUGGCAGAUCGUAUUUUAGCUUGUGGUUUCCUGAGCUCUGGGUAGAAACAUGUGAAGCCGUCGCUUCUCUACCGUGCAGCCUUCAAUCCUCUCCUACCUUUAUUUCCUAUAUAAAUGUAUACACUGCUUUC